AGUGAACGCUGGCGGUAGGCCUAACACAUGCAAGUCGAACGGCAGCACAGUAAGAGCUUGCUCUUACGGGUGGCGAGUGGCGGACGGGUGAGGAAUACAUCGGAAUCUACUUUUUCUUGGGGGAUAACGUAGGGAAACUUACGCUAAUACCGCAUACGACCUACGGGUGAAAUCAGGGGAUCUUCGGACCUUGCGCGAUUGAAUGAGCCGAUGUCGGAUUAGCUAGUUGGCGGGGUAAAGGCCCACCAAGGCGACGAUCCGUAGCUGGUCUGAGAGGAUGAUCAGCCACACUGGAACUGAGACACGGUCCAGACUCCUACGGGAGGCAGCAGUGGGGAAUAUUGGACAAAGGGCGCAAGCCUGAUCCAGCCAUACCGCGUGGGUGAAGAAGGCCUUCGGGUUGUAAAGCCCUUUUGUUGGGAAAGAAAAGCAGCAGGUUAAUACCCCGCUGUUCUGACGGUACCAAAAGAAUAAGCACCGGCUAACUUCGUG
rnacentral:rRNA from 1 species